rnacentral:tRNA from 1 species
GCCGCCAUGGUGGAACAAGGUAGACACGAUUGGUAUAGUCAAUCGAAGUUUGAAACCAACUUCUCGGUUCGAAUCCGAGUGGCGGCA